rnacentral:rRNA from 1 species
UACGUAGGAUCCAAGCGUUGUCCGGAUUUACUGGGCGUAAAGGGUGCGUAGGCGGGUCUUUAAGUCAGGGGGGAAAUCCUGGAGCUCAACUCCAGAACUGCCUUUGAUACUGAGGAUCUUGAGUUCGGGAGAGGUGAGUGGAACUGCGAGUGUAGAGGUGAAAUUCGUAGAUAUUCGCAAGAACACCAGUGGCGAAGGCGGCUCACUGGCCCGAUACUGACGCUGAGGCACGAAAGCGUGGGGAGCAAACAGG